rnacentral:lncRNA from 11 species
CAGUUCCUCUUCCAGUUCCUGGACCAACCACCAGUCCUCACUAUCUCCAUCUUGAUUGGGUCACUAUAUAAUGUGUUUUUGUGUAGGUGGCAGAGUUUUUUAAAGGAUUGUUGGAGUGAAUUUUUCAUAUAGUAAGGAACAUAUAUAUGUUUCGAAAUACAAUAAAGUGAAGAAUCACUAGAAUGUUUUUUUAAAAAAAAAAAAUCCAUGAAUCACACCUAACAAAAAGAAAAAUUAACACAUUUAACUACCCCCAAGUUAGCUAUAUUUUAAGAUAGAAAGCCAGUGAAAUUCCACAAAGAGCAAAGUAAGAACUGAAUAAUCUUCAGCCAAGGACAUAAGAACAAACACAUCUCCUGUGAUAACAGUGAUGCCAUCUGCAAUGUCCUGAUAGAACAAAGCGUGCUUUCGUCUUAAAUGCACACGUUACAUGCAAGUCAAUUAUUCUGCCCCAAGAAAUGGAAAUCAGAUUUCUGUGAUCCAGCCGAAAAUAGCGAGGAAUAAAUUCUAGUAACAUCAGAAGUAGUUGUGAGGACUUGAAGGUCAUGUUUACCAUGAAAGAGGUGGGUGUUUUCCCCCGCUCUCUUUAAGGCACCACAUCCUCCUUUCUUUGCUUUCAGGGGGAGGUUAUUCCUUCCCUUUUCUCUGCAUUAAGUACAGAAGCGGAGGAGGGAGUUAGGCCUUCAUCGGCCAAUUACUCCACUUCGCUUGACGCACAUGCUGGGACGGGAAGAUCUAGCAAAGCAGACUGUUCCUGGCAUUUUCCGCAGCUCUCGUGCUUCCGAAGAGUCAGGGCAACAGAAUUGAGAACUCUCUGACAGAGCUGUACUCCCACAGUUCCAAAUCUGUUUGCAACUGCUGAGCAGCUUGGUGCCAAAAUUACUGAAUUUUAAUGAGCCUUCUACCCCAACCGUCAAAGCAAGUUUCUUUUGAAGCUCUUUCAAAUGACUCUUGCUCCAAAUCAACCAGUGAUCGCUACUUGAUUUCCCACCACAGAAGAAAUUCUGUCCUCCCCUGAUGUCAUGAAGAUUCCCCAGCCAAUGAGGAACCAGAAUUAAACCAGGAUGAUUCCUGGCCUGUCACAAGAGGAUGCUCAGGCUUUGAAUGGCUGUCAAAGAGGAUAAAAUAACUUGCACUGUACUGCUUGGGUGUGUCUGAUUCCUUUUGAGCUGAGACUCUGUAUCAGACAUCCUUUCAGGUUGGAAAGUAAAUAAAUUUCAGUUCCUUUGUCUUCAACCCAGU